UGAACGCUGGCGGCGUGCCUAAUACAUGCAAGUCGAGCGAACAGACGAGGAGCUUGCUCCUCUGACGUUAGCGGCGGACGGGUGAGUAACACGUGGAUAACCUACCUAUAAGACUGGGAUAACUUCGGGAAACCGGAGCUAAUACCGGAUAAUAUAUUGAACCGCAUGGUUCAAUAGUGAAAGACGGUUUUGCUGUCACUUAUAGAUGGAUCCGCGCCGCAUUAGCUAGUUGGUAAGGUAACGGCUUACCAAGGCAACGAUGCGUAGCCGACCUGAGAGGGAGAUCGGCCACACUGGAACUGAGACACGGUCCAGACUCCUACGGGAGGCAGCAGUAGGGAAUCUUCCGCAAUGGGCGAAAGCCUGACGGAGCAACGCCGCGUGAGUGAUGAAGGUCUUCGGAUCGUAAAACUCUGUUAUUAGGGAAGAACAAAUGUGUAAGUAACUAUGCACGUCUUGACGGUACCUAAUCAGAAAGCCACGGCUAACUACGUG
rnacentral:rRNA from 1 species